CUCUCUUCCCCCAUUUCCUUUCUCAGAAACUUGCCAAAACCUUGACCCGAAAUGGAGUUUUUGUUUUUCCAUUUUCCGAAUAGCCUUCCAGACGUCUCUUCGAGCAGGUAAUUGACGUUACCUUUGUCUUCUUCUUCAUAAGUCUCUUUCUCUCUUUCGAUUUUCAUUUUUUUUUUUGGGAUUCAAGUACAGAUUUUGAAUUUCAAAUCCGGAUCCCAAAUGAAAUUCAAAAGUUUUUCUAAUCCAAAAUUUGCAGUCCGACAUCGUUUGAAAUAAAACCUGGCAUUCGGGGUUAUAUAUAGGGACCCCUAUUCUUUAUGUGGAGGGGGAGGAGACGAAAACAAUGAUAUAUAGAUCCUUACUCUCUGUUUUUCUUUACGGUUUUUUUUUUUUUCACUCGAUUUAUCCUACAAGAAAUACGAAAAACUUUAGUUCGUUAGAGCCCUCAACCCGUUCAUUCGAACCCAUUUGGCUCAAGGUUCGGAUCUGUCAAUACGGGUGAGUAGAUUCGAGGCCUGGACGUCCUAGUUCGCUGCACUCGAAGAAGAAAAUGGAGUCCCAAUUCAAAACGGAGUUUCAAAUUGGGACUCGGCAUUAAUACAUUACCCAUGCAUGGAGUCAACGUUCCUUAUUCCUUAAAUCUCAUAGCAAGAGAACAAUGAAAUUCGCUUGAGGCUCGCCCACGGCGAUUUCCUUUUUUGUUUUUUUCUUUCUUUCAACUCCUUACUCUGUUUAUUAUUUUGUUUGUAUGUGUGUUUUGAAUGAUUUCUUUUGGUGCGUGUUUGAUAUUCUUGGUAUAUGAUAUAAUGGGUUUAGGAUUAGCAUGCGACUAACUUUUAAAUGUAUAAUUAAACCAAUCGAUGUUUGCUAAAGAAUUAAGUCCGAUUUCCAAAGCAUUCACAUA